rnacentral:tRNA from 1 species
UAGUUUGAUAGCUCAAUUGGUUAGAGCAGGCUCCUUAUAAGGGCAAGAUAUAGGUUCAAAUCCUAAUCAAACUAU